AAAAAAGCUGUGAAGGACUCCAGUAGGAGGCGGAUAACACAUAGUCAGAGAGCCGGUGGGUGGUGUGAACCGGUAUGUGCCGCUUGUCGAAUUACCGUCCGGAGCUGUCCAGAUGAACAGGAAUAGCAGGUUGAAAUUACCAUGAGCUAUUGCAGGAUUAGUCUGGUACCGGGUUGAAAUCCCGUUAUGUCAAUGAAGUGGAAGUGCCUAUCUUUUUAUUUGUAGAGCAGGCACUUUAAUUAGGGUGGUAACGCGAGCGCUCCUUCUCGUCCCUUGG
rnacentral:ncRNA from 1 species